rnacentral:pre_miRNA from 1 species
UUUGUGGUUGACCGCUAGCGAGGUAUAGAGUUCCUACGUAAAUUUUAGAAGGUAGGAACUUCAUACCGUGCUCUUGGCUCAAUCACU